GUGGGGAAUCUUCCGCAAUGGACGAAAGUCUGACGGAGCAACGCCGCGUGAGUGAAGAAGGUUUUCGGAUCGUAAAGCUCUUUCGUCAGGGACGAACGUAUUUCUUGUAAAUAAUGAGAGAUAGUGACGGUACCUGAAUAAGAAGCCACGGCUAACUACGUGCCAGCAGCCGCGGUAAUACGUAGGUGGCAAGCGUUGUCCGGAAUUAUUGGGCGUAAAGCGCGCGCAGGCGGGAUAUCCAGUCUGUCUUAAAAGUGCGAGGCUCAACCUCGUGAGGGGACAGAAACUGGUAUUCUUGAGUGUCGGAGAGGAAAGUGGAAUUCCAAGUGUAGCGGUGAAAUGCGUAGAGAUUUGGAAGAACACCAGUGGCGAAGGCGACUUUCUGGACGAUGUCUGACGCUGAGGCGCGAAAGCUAGGGGAGCGAACGGGAUUAGAAACCCUGGUAGUCC
rnacentral:rRNA from 1 species